GGGAGAAGCAUUGUUAAGGAACUCGGCAAAAUGACUCCGUAACUUCGGAAUAAGGAGUAGCUUUAUUUGGGAAACCUUUUAAAGCUGUCACAAAAUCGAGGACAGCGACUGGUUAAUAAAACCACAGGUUUCUGCAAACUUGCAAAAGUACGUAUAGAAACUGACGCCUGCCCAGUGCUGCAAGUGUAAAAAAACAGGUUAUUUAGCUUGUUUUCUAAAACCCAGUAAACGGCGGCUGUAACUCUGACGGUCCUAAGGUAGCGAAAUUCUUUGGCAUUUAAUUGGUGUCCUGCAUGAAUGGCGUAACGACUGUCCUACUGUCUCCAGCACAAGUUCAGUGAAAUUGAAUUCUCCGUGAAGAUGCGGAGUAUCUGCGGCUAGACGGAAAGACCCCGUGAACCUUUACUAUAGCUUGACAGUGAACUUGAAGCCUGGAUGUGUAGGAUAGGUGGGAGACUUUGAAGCGUGAACGCCAGUUUGCGUGGAGUCAUCCUUGAAAUACCACCCUUGCAUGUUUUGAGUUCUAACGCAGGUCCAUGAUCUGGAUCGCGGACACUGUCUGGUGGGUAGUUUGACUGGGGCGGUCUCCUCCCAAAGAGUAACGGAGGAGCACGAAGGUUGGCUAAGUAUGGUCGGACAUCAUACGGUUAGUGCAAUGGCAUAAGCCAGCUUAACUGCGAGACGGACGUGUCGAGCAGGUACGAAAGUAGGUCAUAGUGAU
rnacentral:rRNA from 1 species